rnacentral:rRNA from 1 species
UAGAGUUUGAUCCUGGCUCAGAUUGACCCUUUACGGAAUGCUUUACACAUGCAAGUCGGGCGGCAGCACGCCUUCAACCCUGGUGGCGAGCGGCGAACGGGUGAGUAAUACAUCGGAACGUACCCUGUCGUGGGGGAUAACGAAUCGAAAGAUUCGCUAAUACCGCAUACGACCUGAGGGUGAAAGCGGGGGAUCGCAAGACCUCGCGCGAUAGGAGCGGCCGAUGUCGGAUUAGCUAGUUGGUAGGGUAAAGGCCUACCAAGGCGACGAUCCGUAGCGGGUCUGAGAGGACGGCCCGCCACACUGGGACUGAGACACGGCCCAGACUCCUACGGGAGGCAGCAGUGGGGAAUUUUGGACAAUGGGGGCAACCCUGAUCCAGCCAUUCCGCGUGAGUGAAGAAGGGCUUCGGGUUGUAAAGC